AAGGCCAAAUGGGACAGUGCAUCUGGCUGUCAACCAGAAGGUUGGUGGUUUGAACCCACCCUGGGAUG